UACGUAGGGUGCAAGCGUUAAUCGGAAUUACUGGGCGUAAAGCGUGCGCAGGCGGUUGUGCAAGACAGAUGUGAAAUCCCCGGGCUUAACCUGGGAACUGCAUUUGUGACUGCACAGCUGGAGUGCGGCAGAGGGGGAUGGAAUUCCGCGUGUAGCAGUGAAAUGCGUAGAUAUGCGGGAGGAACACCGAUGGCGAAGGCAAUCCCCUGGGCCUGCACUGACGCUCAUGCACGAAAGCGUGGGGAGCAAACAGG
rnacentral:rRNA from 1 species